GACCUCGCGGCGCGGGCGGCGAAGCACCCUCAAUCAUAUCAUGCGCGCGGCAGACCCUCCAGUCCGAAGGCAAGGUCAACAACGCCACCAGCUUCCCCUUUUCGGAAAGAAUGGUACUGAGGGUCUAGCGCACCCUCGCCAGCCCGACCCACCUGCUGCAGCCCCUUCGGGGGUCGCGUGGACCACUUCCCCUCUGCCGCUGGGGCCUCUGCUUCUCCCUCUCGUGUCUCCUUGUCGCCCUGCGCCCUGACACCCCGUAGCGGGGAGGAAGGAAAGUUGGUGAGAGUAAACUAGUUAUGACCCAUAUCAUGACUAACAACUGACACACAAUGGUGGCCGUAUGUGUGGAAGAAAACAAAGAGUAGAACAAAGCUGCUGGAUUGAGCCAUCUGAGGAAGACAGUCUUUAUUCAAAGUUUCCAGAAGAGAAGAUGAGGUGCCUAGAAGAUGAGUUUUUCAAGAUCGCAUGGUAAUGGAUACAGCUGGGACUCAAAUGCAAGGUUGUCUGACCCUAGGGCCCUUAAUGUCUGCUAGAAUGAACUAGUAGGCAAUCAAUAACUGAUCCAUGACGUGGGAAUUGCCUGAUGUGCAUCAGAAACUUCCAGCUCAAUGCCUAGGAAUUAUCUGACCACUAAAAAGACAAACAGCAGAUUCUUUACUGUCUGAGCCACCAUGGAAGCCCAUUGAUGCUUUUGAGUUGUGUUGCUGAAGAAGACUCUUGAGAGUUCCUUGGACUAAAAGGAGAUCAAGCCAUUCAAUCCUAAAGGAAACCAACCCUGAAUAAUCAUUGGAAGGACUAUUGCUGAAGCUGAAACUCCAAUAAUUUGUCCUCUUUAUGCCAAGAGUUGAAAGACCCUGAUGCUGGGAAAGACUGAAGACAGGAGAAGGGGGUGGAAGGGGAUGAGAUGCUUAGAUAUUGUCACUGACUCAAUGAACAUGAAUUUGAGCAAGUUCUGGGAGCUAGUGGAGGACAGAGGACCCUGGAGUGUUACCAUGGGGUCACAAACAGUUGAACACUACUUAGGGACUGAACAACAACAUAAAAUGUAUGUAUGUGUGUGCUAAGGUGCUUCAGUCAUGUCUGUCUCUGUGCGACCGUAUGGACUGUACCCCACCAGGCUCCUCUGUCCACGGGAUCCUCCAGGCGAGAAUACUGGAGCGGGUUGCCAUUUCCUCCUCCAGGGUAUCAGAGCUGCAUCUCUUACAUCUCCUGCAUUGGCAAGUGGGUUCUUUACCACUAGCGCCACCUGAGAAGCCCAAAAUAUAUGUACAUUUAAUGUUAAACAUAAUAUUUAAUGCUUUAAUUUUUUGAGGUGAAAUGCGCAUAACAUGAAAUUCAUUGUUUUAUAGCAAAUAAUUAAAUGACAUUUAGUAUAUUCAUAGUAUUGUGCAGCCACAACCUAUAACUAGUUCUAAAAUAUUUUCUACAUCCUCAAAAAAACCCAUUUAUCCACUAAACAGUUAUUUUCCAUGCUCCCCUUUCUCCUAUCCCCUAGCAACCACUCAUUUGCUUUCUGUCUCAAUGAAUUAACCUAUUCAGCAUAUGUUCUAUAAAUAGAAUCAUACAAUAUGUAACUUUUUUUAUCCAGCUUCUUUCACUUAUCAUAACAUUUUCAAGUUUCAUCCAGGCCGUAGCCUAUACUCUGUUCCUUUUUAUGGUUGAAUCCCUUGUAUGCAUAAAUCACAAUUUGUUUAUCCAUUCAUUCGCUAUUGGACACUUGGCUUGGUUGCUUCCCAUUUUUUAAAAUUGUGGUGAAAAACACAAGGUCAAAUCACUAUCUUAGCCAUUUUUUAGUGUAUAAUGCUGUAGUAAUUAACUAUGUGCAUAUUUUAGUACAAUAGAUCUCUGGAACUAUUUCAUCUUGCAAAACUAAAACUCUAUCUAUUGAACAAGUAUUCAUUUCCCUCUUCGCCCAUCUCCUGGUGACCACAUUCUAUUUUCUGUUUCAAGUUUGACUAAAUGAGGUAUCUCACAUAAAUGGAAUCAUGCUGUAUUGUCUUUUUUUUGUGACUAACUUAUUUCACUUAGCAUAGUGUCCUCAGAGUUCAUCCAUGUUGUAUAUGACAAGAUUUCCUUCUUUUUUAAGACUAGCAUGCCAUUGUGUGUGUGUGUGUGUAUACAUUUUUUUUUAAUCCUUUCAUUUGUUUCUGGACAUUAAGGUUGCUUCUACUUUGUGGCCAUUGUGUUUAAUGCUGCAGUGAACAUGGGUAUGUAAAUAUCUCUUUGUGAUCCUGUUGGAUAUAUAACAAGAGGUGGGAUUGCUGGAUCAUAUGGUAAUUAUAUUUUUAAUUUUUUUAGGAAACUCCUUACUGUUUUCCAUAGUAGUUACACCAUUUUACAUUUCUACCAACCCCAUGUACAGAGGUUCCAAUUUCUCCACACCCUUGCUUGUUCUUUUCUUUCUUUCUCUAAUUUUUUUUAAGUGGGUAGGUAUGAGGUGAUAUCUCAUUGUGAUUUGCAUUUCUAUGCUUAUUGAUAUGCAUACUCAGUGACCUUGAGUAUUUUUUCAUCUGCUUUUGGCAAUUUGUUUAUCUUCUUUGAGAAAUACCUAUUUAAGUUCUUUGCUCAUUUAAAAAAUCAGGUUGUUUAUCUUUUUGUUGUUGUGUUAUAGUACCUUUUUAUAUAUUAUGGUUGUCAAAAUAUAUGGUUUGCAAAUAUUUUCUCCCAUCUGUAGAUUGCCUUUUUACUCUGUUGAUUGUUUCCUUUGCUGUGCAGAAGUUUUUAAGUUUAAUGUACUUCCAGUUGUGUAUUUUUGGUUUUGCUGCCUAUGCUUUUGCUGCCAUAUUCAAGAAAUAAUUGCCCGAUCCAGUAUCAUGAAAUUUUUCUCUAUGUUUUCUUUUAGUAAUUUUAAAAUUUCAAGUCUAUGUUUAGGUCCUUAAUCCAUUUUGAGUUUAUUUUUGUCUAUGUUUAAGGUAAGGAUCCAACUUCACUCUUUUGCAGAUAGAGAUCCAGUAUUUUCAAUACCACGACUAUCCUUUCUCUGCUGUGAGGAUUCGGGGCCCUUGUUGAAGAUCAUUUGACCUUACACAUGAGGAUUUAUUUCUGGGUUCUCUAUUCUGUUCACUGGUGAAUACAUUUAUUUUAAUGUCAGUACCUUACUGCUUGGGCUUCCCAGUUAGUACUAGCGCUAAAGGACUCGCCUGCCAGUGCAGGAGAUACAAGAGACACGGAUUCAGUCUCUAGGUCGGGAAGAUCCCCUGAAGGAGAACAUGGCAACCCACUCCAGUUUACUUGCCUGGAGAACCCCAUGGAUAGAGGAGCCUGGCGGGCUACAGUCCAUAGGGUUGCACAGAGCUGAACACAACUGAAGUGACUUUGCACGCGUGCACACACCAUACUGUUUUGGUUUUUUUUUUAACACCAUACUGUUUUGAUUUGUAAUGUUUUGAAAUCAGGAAAUGCUGGGGCCUUAGGAUUUGUUCUUUCUCAGGAUUGUUUGGCUGUUUGGAGUCAUUUGCAGUUCCAGAUAAAUUUGCAUUUUUUUUAAAUUUAUACAAAAGAUGCCAUUGGGAUUUUGAUAGGGAUUCCAUUAAAUUAUAGAUCACUUUGGAUAGUAUGGACAUUUAAAAAAUAUUAAAAGUCUUCCAGUCAAUGAACAUGGACUGCAUUUCCACUCAUUUGUAUCGUCUUUCUUUCUUUCAGCAAUGUUUUAUAGUCUACAGUGUACAAGUCUUUCACUUCCUUGGUUAAGUUUAUUCCAAAAUAUUUAAUUGUUUUGAUGCUAUUGUAAAUUUGAUUUUUUAAAAUUUCCUUUAUAGAUUGUUCAUUGUUAAUAUAUAAAAACACAACCAAUUUUUUUGUGUUGAUUUUGUAUCCUUCAACUUUGCUGAAUUCAUUUAUUAGUUUUAACAGGUUUUUCUUUGUAGAAUCUUUAGGAUUUUCUGUGUAUAAGAACAUAUCAUUUGCAAACAGAUGAUUUGACUUCUUCCUUUUCAAAUUAGAUGACUUUUACUUCUUUUCUUUUGCCUAAUUGCUGUGGCGAGGACUUCCGGUGCAGUGUUAAAUAAAAGUUGUGAGAGUGAGCAUCCUUGCCUUGUUCCUCAUCUUAGAGAGAAAUGUUCCAGUUUUUCACUAUUGAGUAUGAUUUUAGAUGUGGGUAUUUCAUCUAUGGCCUGUGUUAUUUUGAGGUAAUUUCCUCCCAUUCCUCAUUUGUUGAGUGUUUUUUUUA